rnacentral:rRNA from 1 species
CCUACGGGCGGCAGCAGUGGGGAAUAUUGGACAAUGGGGGAAACCCUGAUCCAGCGACGCCGCGUGAGUGAAGAAGUAUUUCGGUACGUAAAGCUCUAUCAGCAGGAAAGAAAAUGACGGUACCUGACUAAGAAGCCCCGGCUAACUACGUGCCAGCAGCCGCGGUAAUACAUAGGGGGCAAGCGUUAUCCGGAUUUACUGGGUGUAAAGGGAGCGUAGACGGCAGCGCAAGUCUGGAGUGAAAUGCCGUGGACCAACCCCGGAACUGCUCUGGAAACUGUGAAGCUGGAGUGCAGGAGAGGUAAGCGGAAUUCCUGGUGUAGCGGUGAAAGGCGUAGAUAUCAGGAGGAACACCGGCGGCGAAGGCGGCUUACUGGACUGUAACUGACGUUGAGGCUCGAAGGCGUGGGGAGCAAACAGGAUUAGAUACCCCUGUAGUC